GGGGUUGUGGCUCAGCGGUAGAGCUCGCCUAGCGAGUUCGGGGCCCUGGGUUCGAUUCUCAGCACCACA
rnacentral:tRNA from 1 species